rnacentral:rRNA from 1 species
AGAUGCGAUCAUACCAGCACUAAAGCAUCGGAUCCCAUCAGAACUCCGAAGUUAAGCAUGCUUGGGCNUCGUCUUUGUAGCGGAGCUG